UACGGGGGGGGUAAGCGUUGUUCGGAAUUACUGGGCGUAAAGGGCUCGUAGGCGGCCAACUAAGUCAGACGUGAAAUCCCUCAGCUUAACUGGGGAACUGCGUCUGAUACUGGAUGGCUUGGAUUCGGGAGAGGAAUGCGGAAUUCCAGGUGUAGCGGUGAAAUGCGUAGAUAUCUGGAGGAACACCGGUGGCGAAGGCGGCAUUCUGGGCCGAUAUUGACGCUGAGGAGCGAAAGCCAGGGGAGCAAACGGG
rnacentral:rRNA from 1 species